rnacentral:rRNA from 1 species
AGUGAACGCUGGCGGCAGGCCUAACACAUGCAAGUCGAACGGCAGCACAAGAGAGCUUGCUCUCUGGGUGGCGAGUGGCGGACGGGUGAGGAAUGCAUCGGAAUCUGCCCAUUUGUGGGGGAUAACCUCGGGAAACCGGGACUAAUACCGCAUACGACCUACGGGUGAAAGCAGGGGAUCUUCGGACCUUGCGCAGAUGGAUGAGCCGAUGCCGGAUUAGCUAGUUGGAGGGGUAAAGGCCCACCAAGGCGACGAUCCGUAGCUGGUCUGAGAGGAUGAUCAGCCACACUGGGACUGAGACACGGCCCAGACUCCUACGGGAGGCAGCAGUGGGGAAUAUUGGACAAUGGGCGCAAGCCUGAUCCAGCCAUGCCGCGUGUGUGAAGAAGGCCUUCGGGUUGUAAAGCACUUUUGUUGGGAAAGAAAAGCAGCCGGUUAAUACCCGGUUGUCAUGACGGUACCCAAAGAAUAAACACCGGCUAACUUCGUG